rnacentral:rRNA from 1 species
GAUGAACGCUAGCGGCAGGCUUAAUACAUGCAAGUCGAGGGGCAGCAUGAUAUACGUAAGUAUAUUGAUGGCGACCGGCGGACGGGUGAGUAACGCGUAUGCAACCUACCUACAACAGGGGGAUAACCCGUUGAAAGACGGACUAAUACCCCAUAAUACAGGGGUCCCGCAUGGGGAUAUUUGUUAAAGAUUAAUCGGUUGUAGAUGGGCAUGCGUUCCAUUAGCUGGUUGGUGAGGUAACGGCUCACCAAGGCAACGAUGGAUAGGGGAACUGAGAGGUUUAUCCCCCACACUGGUACUGAGACACGGACCAGACUCCUACGGGAGGCAGCAGUGAGGAAUAUUGGUCAAUGGGCGCAAGCCUGAACCAGCCACGUCGCGUGAAGGAAGACGGCCCUACGGGUUGUAAACUUCUUUUGUAAGGGAAUAAAUAGUCUUACGAGCUAAGACGUUGCAGGUACCUUACGAAUAAGGAUCGGCUAACUCCGUGCCAGCAGCCGCGGUAAUACGGAGGAUCCGAGCGUUAUCCGGAUUUAUUGGGUUUAAAGGGUGCGCAGGCGGCAUGUUAAGUCGGCGGUGAAAUUUUGCAGCUCAACUGUAAAAGAGCUUUCGAAACUGGCAAGCUUGAGUGUGGAUGAAGUAGGCGGAAUUUGUGGUGUAGCGGUGAAAUGCAUAGAUAUCACAAAGAACACCGAUUGCGCAGGCAGCUUACUAAACCAUAACUGACGCUCAUGCACGAAGGCGUGGGGAUCAAACA